ACUCUUAAAAGCAUCCAAAAAUAUAUAGGGUCUGCACAAUACCAGAAAACCGUAUUUAUAUCGGUUGCCGUUUUCCAAAGUAAGCCAUUAGGCUAAAUGUUAAUUAGAAUGAACACCGGUCUUUACACGCGCACACCUAUAUAUCCAUUAUUCAGUCCGCAGCUGAGCUUUAGAUCUCAGGGCGUGGGGGCGGUCUUUUCCACGGGUCUGAUGGACCGGAACCACAGCUGAUGCAGGUCCACGUUCGCCCUCGGAGAUCGGAUGGCAGGACGGGGGUUCAUGCGCAGGCAGACGGGGGUUCAUGCGCAGGCAGACGGGGGUUCAUGCGCAGGCAGACGGGGGUUCAUGCGCAGGCAGACGGGUGGUCAGAAAGCAGGAAGAGCAGAGACGUGGAGAAGAUGAGGCACAUUCUCAUCACUGUCGUGGACGCUAACAGCAGAAUAAAGGCCCGCCUCUAUUUUCAUGCGAUUGGACAGCAGAGAAAAGAAUGACUUUUUCCUUGGAAUGCAUCGAAACAGGGUUUUUUUUUAUUUUUAUUUUUUAAGCUCCGUGAUCACCUAUCUAUUAGAGUCCCCCGGGUGUCCUGCAGCAGUCUGUUACCUGCAUGGUGGUGUUGUCCACGAUCAUGCUGUCGAAUGUGAUGUCGGGGUACCCGGACGCUACCUCCUUACAGCACUGCAGGAACAAGCCAUCACCCAACUUCCUGUGUGGGGGGGAUUGCAGAGUUUGAGUUACGCCGCAGAUGAACUAUUCUGCAGUCACACUAAACUACAGAUCUAAAACUAAUGUUAGGGACACGGUGCCUGCUGGUUUUUCUGUGAGUUUCAGCACUUCAAUCCUCAAUCUAAGUCACUGGUAUGCUAAAGGGUCCACACUCCUUGUUCCCAAGACUUGAUUUGGCUGCGAAUUGAAAGGAAAUCACAAAAACUUGUACAUACUGAAGCCCUCCAGAACAGAGUUUGAUGUCAUUGAAGAGACUGAGAAACACACAUCCUGAACGACUAACACAACUGGGAUUUGUGAACAGAAGGUUGCUAGUUCCAGCAUCAGGCAUGUUACUGCUUUUGUAGGGUUAGGCAGGUUGUCUUCAGCUGACAUGCAGCUAGAUACCAGUACAAUAGUGUGUAUUGGAAGUGGGUCCAGGCAAAGGCUUAUGCAAAGCUGAGGAGUUGAUGUGAAGAUGUUGACUCACAUGAUGUUGGCCUUGUGAACAGCAGUGACUCUUUUUCGACCUUUCUCUCUGGCCAACUGGAAUGCGUAUUCAGCGAUCCUCAGGGAGUUCACUCGAGUGAUGAUUUUCAGACACUCCACCACUCCUGACACACUCUGAAUGUGGGCCACACACAGAACUGUACAUUAUAAACAUACGUAUACACACAUGCUCUCACAUACACACAUAUCAUGUAUGCACAGAUCAAAUGGCAUUCAGCCUGAGAAACACAUGCAUGCACGUGCACACACAUGCGCACACACACACACCUCAUGCUCCAGGCUGCUGUACUCUCCCUCUGUGUUCUCUCGAAUGAUGAUAAUGUCAAUGUUCUUGUGUCGGGUCUGGACUCCAGGGAGGGACUGACAGUGCAUCACGUUGGCAUACAGAUCCAGACUUGUACUGAAAAACAUUGAGGAGAGAAACACAGACAGAGAUAAACUCACAAUGACCGUUCCAACUGACCAAGCCCAACAGAGUGUUGCAAAUGUCCGUCUGGAUUCAAUGAGUCGGUGUGUCAGUGUUUGGAUUGACUAUUUUGAUAUGAUUCAAAAUGUAAAUACUUGUAAAGCGAUACAUUUCCGCAUGCAAACAAGGGCUUCUAGAGGGAAAUUA